UACGGGGGGAGCAAGCGUUGUUCGGAUUUACUGGGCGUAAAGGGCGCGUAGGCGGUCAGCACAAGUCAGUUGUGAAAUCUCCGGGCUUAACUCGGAAAGGUCAACUGAUACUGUGCGACUAGAGUGCAGAAGGGGCAACUGGAAUUCUCGGUGUAGCGGUGAAAUGCGUAGAUAUCGAGAGGAACACCGGUGGCGAAGGCGGAUCUCUGGGCCUUACCUGACGCUGAGGCGCGAAAGCUAGGGGAGCGAACAGG
rnacentral:rRNA from 1 species